UCCAGACUCCUACGGGAGGCAGCAGUGGGGGAUAUUGCACAAUGGGGGGAACCCUGAUCCAGCGACGCCGCGUGGGUGAAGGAGCGUUUCGGCGCGUAAAGCCCUAUCGGCAGGGAAGAAGGAGGACGGUACCUGACUAAGAAGCCCCGGCUAACUACGUGCCAGCAGCCGCGGUAAUACGUAGGGGGCAAGCGUUAUCCGGAUUUACUGGGUGUAAAGGGGGCGCAGACGGCAGCGCAAGCCAGGAGUGAAAGCCCGGGGCCCAACCCCGGGACUGCUCUUGGAACUGCGUGGCUGGAGUGCAGAAGGGGCAGGCGGAAUUCCUGGUGUAGCGGUGAAAUGCGUAGAUAUCGGGAGGAACACCGGUGGCGAAGGCGGCCUGCUGGACUGCAACUGACGUUGAGGCCCGAAAGCGUGGGGAGCAAACAGGAUUAGAUACCCGAGUA
rnacentral:rRNA from 1 species